rnacentral:rRNA from 1 species
CCUACGGGUGGCAGCAGUGAGGAAUAUUGGUCAAUGGCCGAGAGGCUGAACCAGCCAAGUCGCGUGAGGGAAGACGGCCCUACGGGUUGUAAACCUCUUUUGUCGGGGAGCAAAGCGAGUCACGUGUGACUCAUUGCGAGUACCCGACGAAAAAGCAUAGGCUAACUCCGUGCCCGCAGCCGCGGUAAUACGGAGGAUGAGAGCGUUAUCCGGCUUUAUUGGGUUUAUAGGGUGCGCAGGCGGAGGUGCAAGUCAGCGGUCAAAUUGCGGGGCUCAACCCCGUACUGCCGUUGAAACUGCAUCCUGUGAGUGCGCGAGAAGUAUGCGGAAUGCGUGGUGUAGCGGUGAAAUGCAUAGAUAUCACGCAGAACUCCGAUUGCGAAGGCAGCAUACCGGCGCGCAACUGACGCUCAUGCACGAAAGCGUGGGUAUCGAACAGGAUUAGAUACCCGGGUAGUC